rnacentral:rRNA from 1 species
GACGAACGCUGGCUGCGUGCUUAACACAUGCAAGUCGAACGCUGAAGCCGACAGCUUGCUGUUGGUGGAUGAGUGGCGAACGGGUGAGUAACACGUGGGUAACCUGCCCCUGAUUUCGGGAUAAGCCUGGGAAACUGGGUCUAAUACCGGAUACGACCACCUGACGCAUGUUGGGUGGUGGAAAGUUUUUCGAUCGGGGAUGGGCUCGCGGCCUAUCAGCUUGUUGGUGGGGUAAUGGCCUACCAAGGCGACGACGGGUAGCCGGCCUGAGAGGGCGACCGGCCACACUGGGACUGAGACACGGCCCAGACUCCUACGGGAGGCAGCAGUGGGGAAUAUUGCACAAUGGGGGAAACCCUGAUGCAGCGACGCAGCGUGCGGGAUGACGGCCUUCGGGUUGUAAACCGCUUUCAGCAGGGAAGAAGCGAAAGUGACGGUACCUGCAGAAGAAGUACCGGCUAACUACGUGCCAGCCGCCGCCGUAA